UUUAUUUGUGGUGUCAAGAAAGGCGUAAACUAAACACUUUGCAGCCCUUUCCUGCCCUUGAAUAUGAUGUCUUUGGUGUAGGAGCUGCAAAACUAACAGUG